AACCGGAUUAGAUACCCUGGUAGUCCACGCCCUAAACGAUGUCAACUAGGUGUUGGAAGGGUAAAACCUUUUAGUACCGGAGCUAACGCGUGAAGUUGACCGCCUGGGGAGUACGGCCGCAAGGUUAAAACUCAAAGGAAUUGACGGGGACCCGCACAAGCGGUGGAUGAUGUGGAUUAAUUCGAUGCAACGCGAAAAACCUUACCUACCCUUGACAUGUCAGGAAGUCUUGAGAGAUUGAGAUGUGCCCGAAAGGGAACCUGAACACAGGUGCUGCAUGGCUGUCGUCAGCUCGUGUCGUGAGAUGUUGGGUUAAGUCCCGCAACGAGCGCAACCCUUGUCGUUAAUUGCCAUCAUUUAGUUGGGCACUUUAACGAGACUGCCGGUGACAAACCGGAGGAAGGUGGGGAUGACGUCAAGUCCUCAUGGCCCUUAUGGGUAGGGCUUCACACGUCAUACAAUGUCGGUACA
rnacentral:rRNA from 1 species